AGUAAGAUCAGCUAAGAUAAGCUUUUGGGCCCAUACCCCAAAAAUGUAGGUUAAACUCCUUCUCUUACUA
rnacentral:tRNA from 1 species